CAAUUCACUGGGCAUCCUGUGUGUUUUCAUAACACACCACCAAUUCCUGUCAAAAAUCAAUAGCUCACUGAGGAGUAGCAGACUACUGAGCUGCCCAGGCUAGCACCUGCUCUGCAAUAUUUCUCAGCUAGCAAGAGACAGGAAAGCAUUAGAGGAAUCAAACCCACAGCACAGAGGUGCUCAGGGACUUAAGGACUCCCGAAAUUCCUCCAUGUGAGGUAGCAACUUGUUUUAGUCCAGGGUGUAAGGAGUUCCUGCAAGCAGUGCUGCCUUCUUGGACUGGUUCAAGGACAAAAAAAAAAAAAGUUAAAAGAUUUUCUGUGGAAUAGAAUAUUUGGACUUUGAGUUGCAAACACAAGCAUGACACAGAUCAUAAAACAUGAAAUAAGGUAGCUCUGCUCUCUUCUGCACAGUGGGGCAAGGCAUUUAACCUGUCGUAAAUCCUGUCCACUCCCUCCUUGUCUUUUCUGUUUAUACAUGGAGUUAAAGCAUCCUUAAGCCUCUUACUACUCUACCACUCUCCUGAUUACAGCCGCAUCUAACACUGAACUUGAAGCACACACCUGUACGAAUUCAUGAGAAAAAACUUUGCAUUACAUGGAAAAAAAAGAGUCAUAUGCAGAAAAGGAAAAAGGAAAGUGCCACCCUUCAAACUGAAGAAAGUUUUGGCCCGUGAGCUGCUGAAAAAAGACACACAGAUGUGUGAACUGCAACCCCUCUCCUGCAGCACUUUGUAAAGCAAGUGAGCAGUCCCAGGCAGGAGGAGGCUUUCUGCAUUUUGAACGGGCCAAGGUGAGGAGUCGUGCAGGGCAGAGCACCCUGAGAAAUUGGACCUCGUGACCUGGACUUGCACAUCCAUGAGCAGAGACAUGGGAAAUGCUGCCUUUCUGGAGCUGAAGUGGGGAGGGGAGUGCUGGAAGCUGCAGACAGGAAGAGCCUGACUUGGGAAAAGCAAAGCAGGAUCUUAGGGUGAAGCCCAUGGGACCUGUCCCAGAUGGGAAGUGGAAGGUGGAUCUCCUCAGGUGGUGAGCUAAGCUGAAAUAGCUAGGCUGAAGGAUCAGCCCCUUGGGAGGAGACCUGGCGAGCAAGAAAGAAGAAUGUGAGGGUUUUGUCUUGUAGCUUCCUGCCAAAAACUGGCAUGGCUGUAAACACAAGUGCAGAACAAUAAGGUCUCCUGUCCCAGCAGCUGCUAAAGCCGUCACCUGGGAAGCUUCCUGCAAUCAGCCACUGGAAGGACAAAAAGGAGCUCCCACAUGCUUUCCUGCAAUUUGUCAUAUGUCUGAUCUCUGCUCUGCUCAGUCUCUAUCAUCCUCCCUUCCCCCAGAGCCCUGUCUCACGCUCCAACAAGAGGAUGUGGUUAUGAAGGCCAACCUCUGGUUAGGAGGAGCAGUCUCAUUGUUCAACCUUGCUUCUCCAAGCAGCAAGAAGUGCUUUUCUUUAUGACUUCUGAGUCACCCUAUAGUUUCUCCACAGAAAGUAUUUCCCCUGGGCUGGUUCUUCAGGCACUGGGUGAACUUCCCUGGUGCCCCAGAGAGUUCCAUAGCACUCUGCAGAUCCUCUCUGCCUGCCACGUGUUGCAGCUUCAGGGCUUACAGUGACCAGAGUUGGCACAAUGCUGCCACCGGCUUCUUUUUCAGACCACUGCACCUUUCCAAGGCGUUAAUCUCUGGGUCUGAACACUGCCAUGCUGGAUCUCUCCUCCUGGGUAAGUAUUUUUAGAAAGUUUGAGCUCAGACCAUGCAGUCACUCCUGAGCUAUGCCAGGAUGAAAAGAAAACAACCACUUCUGCCUGAACAAUAGCAGUGUGGAACAAAAAGCCACUGUAAGAGGGGUUUUUCGGCAUCACUCAAAACUAGCCAAGCUUUGAAAGAUGAAACUCGCAGUCAAAAAAAAAAAAAAAAAAGAAAAAGGUUCCUAGUGAACAAGUGAACAGAAAGGGCUUUGACAGUUUACUUUAAAAAGCCAGAUUAAAGCAAAAUGAUGUUAUAUAAAUACGUGGGCAUGCUGGAGCUUGCAUGCAGUACAGCACUCCAUCUCCAUCUCUGCCACUGCCCUGGCCAGACCCAGGGCUGGGUUUGUCACCUGCUGCUGCCUGUGGCACAGCCCCGCAGGUAAAGCCAGCUGCAAGUAAAGGAGCCGUGCAGUCCCUGUGCCCGCGGCUACGGGCCCUGUGGGGAAGUGUUAUUGCCUCAUGAUGGAGCCAGAAAGCAACCUCGGGGGAUGCAGAUCCUCUCCUUCCUGAGGCCAUGAAGCUAUGGGUGCAGAGCCAGCUAGGAAAAACACCCUCUCGCUGCCAGCUGUGUGAGAC